rnacentral:rRNA from 1 species
UACGAAGGGUGCAAGCGUUACUCGGAAUUACUGGGCGUAAAGCGUGCGUAGGUGGUUUGUUAAGUCUGAUGUGAAAGCCCUGGGCUCAACCUGGGAAUUGCAUUGGAUACUGGCAGCUAGAGUGCGGUAGAGGAUGGCGGAAUUCCCGGUGUAGCAGUGAAAUGCGUAGAGAUCGGGAGGAACAUCUGUGGCGAAGGCGGCAUCCUGGACCGACACUGACGCUGAGGAGCGAAAGCCAGGGGAGCAAACGGG